rnacentral:tRNA from 1 species
UGCCACAUAGUCUAGUGGUUAGGACGUCGAACAAAUGCUUUGAAGAUCCAGGUUCGAUUCCUGGUGUGGCAG